GCGUAAAGCGCACGCAGGCGGUCUGUCAAGUCGGAUGUGAAAUCCCCGGGCUCAACCUGGGAACUGCAUUCGAAACUGGCAGGCUUGAGUCUUGUAGAGGGGGGUAGAAUUCCAGGUGUAGCGGUGAAAUGCGUAGAGAUCUGGAGGAAUACCGGUGGCGAAGGCGGCCCCCUGGACAAAGACUGACGCUCAGGUGCGAAAGCGUGGGGAGCAAACAGGAUUAGAUACCCUGGUAGUCCACGCCGUAAACGAUGUCUACUUGGAGGUUGUGCCCUUGAGGCGUGGCUUCCGGAGCUAACGCGUUAAGUAGACCGCCUGGGGAGUACGGCCGCAAGGUUAAAACUCAAAUGAAUUGACGGGGGCCCGCACAAGCGGUGGAGCAUGUGGUUUAAUUCGAUGCAACGCGAAGAACCUUACCUGGUCUUGACAUCCACGGAAGUU
rnacentral:rRNA from 1 species